GUUUAUGUUUAAUGGGGCGCUUGUCCCCGAGACUUUCCGUAAACGAGUUUGUAAAGGGAGGCGAGACUUCCCGGCCGCGGAGGGUCGGUACCGUCAAGCCCCCAAAGGUGCACAGGUGUGUGAGGUGGAUGGGCGGCCCGCGGCCCGCGUCGACGGUGUUGCCACCGGAGCUGGUACGCGGGGCGCGCCCGUUUCAUACGAUAAUGAUCCUUCCGCAGGUUCACCUACGGAAA
rnacentral:misc_RNA from 1 species